ensembl:lncRNA
UCCCCCCCCCCCCACCGCCGAGUCAAUAAUUCCAGGAGACUCGGACACAUCUUUGCCCCAGCUUCCUUUUCCCGGUCCCCGCGCCUUCCCAACACCGAAUCCUAACCUCUCUGUAGACCAAAAUCUUUAAUUUUACUAUCCUUUAAAAAAAAGUCAAAGGCCAACUUCUAAAAUAAGCCGGGAGCGUUGGAGACGCCGAGGGGAUCGGCGGGCGGGACGCGCCGCAGUGUCUGUCUCCGGCUGUCAGAAAUGCAGUAAGCCGAAAUUUAAAUGCCCUUUUCCAGACAGGGAAAAGUCAGCGGCUGCGGAGCUCUCUUCGCUCAUACAUGCAAUGUGUAAUUCUUACUCCAAGGAGUUCAGGAUGUGAAGGGUUUUCUGUCAACCGCGAAGCAUACCCUUCUUCUCCCCGACAAAAGGCAAAAAAGCAAUUAAUGCAAUAAAGCAUGAAUGUCCACCCGGCCGGGGUCAGCGUCCAUCUAAGGCGAGCAAAAACCUCUAAAGGCUACUUUCAGAAAACGCACCCCCGGUUUCCCUCUGCCUUCCUCUCUCUUCCCAUCUUGACAAGUCACUGUACCCCGACCCAGUUCUGGUUCCUCUCCUCUCCACCCCGACUAGCCACAACUACUCUGAGAAAAGUGUCAAUAGCGCAGGAAUGGGAGAAAAGACACUCGAUUCGGGCGUUCUGCUCAUCGCGGCGUUAAGGCGGUAGCAAAAAUAAAUGAAAAAGGCCAAUAGGUCCGGGUGCUCACCCGUAUUUCCACUAUCCGAAGGAAAUCUAGCGUCCAAAAAGCGGCGAGGAGCGCCUUUCAGAGGCGCGGGUCGUGGGCUGCGGCAGGGGAAAGUGUCUCCCCAAAAAGGCAGAAGAGCUUCUCUGCGUCCGGGGAGUCUUGGUGUCGCUCGGGUGUUCCUCCAGGUCUUUGCCGCAAACGCAAGUGACCAAUCCCUAGCCAGGGUUUUGCCGCAAAGCGUCUUUCCCUGCCCCCUCCCAGAGCUGCACCCUCGCCCCAGGUUUCGAAAGUUAAAGCCAACUGCAGAGAGGUGGAAAGAAAAGGAAUCACCGGAGAGAAAAGUGGUUCAGAGGCGGCUGUCCAACUGCGUAAGAGGUGGUGAAAAUGAACCCAUAGCUACCUCCGGGCUGGCUUCCUAGGUGGCUAAGUGGUGGAGAAUCUGCCUGCCAAUGCGGGAGACGCAGGAGACGGAGGUUCGAUCCUUGAGUCGCGAAGAUCCCCUGAAGGUUGCAAUGGCAACCCAUUCCAGUAUUCUUGCCUGAAGAAAUCCCAUGGACAGAGGAGCCUGGCAGGUUAUCAUCCAUGGGGUCGCAGAGUCUGACACGACUGAACGACUGAGCAACUUAGCACGCAGGCGCUUACAGACAACGAACAUCACCCUAUAGAGAGCUGAUUCCAUUUAUGGGAAACGGUGAAAUAAUUAACAAGUAUGCACAUGAAAACAAUUCCAGCAAAAUUCUAAAGCAGCAAAACACGCUUUAGACCACACACCAUCGAAACCAAUCCUCUUCUAGCCACCAAGUUUUAGAGAAAGACGUUAGAUUUAUUGGGGAAGUGAAGGCAAGGGGAAAG